rnacentral:pre_miRNA from 1 species
CUAGCUCAUAUUUGUAUGGAAUGGGAUCGUUUGCAUACGUUUGCCGCUAGGGGCGCUGUUCCAACUGCAUACAAAAUUGGGUUA